GACGAACGCUGGCGGCGUGCCUAAUACAUGCAAGUCGAGCGCAGGAAGCUGACGGAACUCUUCGGAGAGAAGGCAGUGGAAUGAGCGGCGGACGGGUGAGUAACACGUAAGGAACCUGCCUCAAGGAUUGGGAUAACUCCGAGGAAUCGGGGCUAAUACCGGAUAGUUCAACGGACCGCAUGGCCCGCUGAUGAAAGGCGCUUCGGCGUCACCUUGAGAUGGCCUUGCGGUGCAUUAGCUAGUUGGUGGGGUAACGGCCCACCAAGGCGACGAUGCAUAGCCGACCUGAGAGGGUGAUCGGCCACACUGGGACUGAGACACGGCCCAGACUCCUACGGGAGGCAGCAGUAGGGAAUCUUCCACAAUGACGAAAGUCUGAUGGAGCAACGCCGCGUGAGUGAUGAAGGUUUUCGGAUCGUAAAACUCUGUUGUAAGGGAAGAACACGUACGAGAGGGAAUGCUCGUACCUUGACGGUACCUUACGAGAAAGCCACGGCUAGCUACGUGCCAGCAGCCGCGGUAA
rnacentral:rRNA from 1 species